rnacentral:rRNA from 1 species
AUACGGAGGGUGCAAGCGUUACUCGGAAUCACUGGGCGUAAAGCGCGCGCAGGCGGGUUGGCAAGUCAGAUGUGAAAUCCUACAGCUUAACUGUAGAACUGCAUUUGAAACUGCUAACCUAGAGUAUGGGAGGGGGAGAUGGAAUUAGUGGUGUAGGGGUAAAAUCCGUAGAUAUCACUAGGAAUACCGAAAGCGAAGGCGAUCUCCUGGAACAUAACUGACGCUAAGGCGUGAAAGCGUGGGGAGCAAACAGGAUUAGAUACCCUAGUAGUCC